ACCCGUCCUGGUGACCUUCACCGUGUAGUACGGAGCGCACUGUGCGUGUGCCCACGCGCCCACACGCGCCCACGCGCCCACACGCGCCCACACACUCCCACGCGCCCACACGCGCCCACGCGCCCACACGCGCCCACACACUCCCACGCGCCCACACGCGCCCACGCGCCCACACACGUCCCCGCGCCCAAGCACACACCCCACACACGCGCACGCACCCGCACGUCCCCACGCGCCCACGUGCACCCGCGCGCCGUCUCGCAGGCAGUUAGUCGCGGGGCGGGGACCUGCGGACCGUGGGCGUCGGGCGAGCCGGCAGCAGAGCCUGCGGGCCCCGGGAGCGGAGCUCCGGACUCCCGUCUUCUGUCCCCGCUCCCGGAAGACCGCGUCUCGUCCCGGGACCGCAGCGGCGCGGUGUGGCGACCGAGCGGCUCCGCCCCGCGCACGUUUUCACGUCGCCGUCAUGGUUAUUCCGGGAGCCGGGCCGCCCGCACUUUGACGUCGUGGUGCCCGCGAGGGGCGAGGUGGCCGCGGGGUCCCUUCCGUGUGCUCCUUAACCAGAUCCACGAAGCUGACCUGACUUCGGCUCUGCGCGGGAGAAUGGAAGGGCUUCGUCCCACCGCGGGAGCCUCAGGCCCCGACGGCCCCGUGCCCCGGGCAGGGGAGGGCCGUGGGGAGGCGCGGGGCGGGAAGCCGCUGUCCCCGCGGCCGGGCUGCGCGGUGGCCGUCGCGGGGCGCCCGGGCUGCCCCCCGCCCCGUCUCAGUGCCCCCCCAUCGGGCUGUGACGCUUCCUGCCUCCAGCCCCCCCACCCCCAGCUGGAAGGGGCGCUCUGUUCGCUGCGGGAUCCCGACAGUGCGCGAGCAUCCGCAGCCCCGCUCCACUCGGGGUCCCCCUCCGGCCAAGCUCAGGUCCUGCGUGGGGGAGAAGCGGGCCUGUUACCGGCGGCUACUGGACGGUCCACAGGCCACCGAGCGGGGGCCCCCCAGGUCCCUGCCACCCGCGCGAGGACGAGCGCGCUGCUGGGGAGCGACGGCGGAGGUGCCAGCGCGGACCCGAAACCGGCCCAAGUGGCCUGA
rnacentral:lncRNA from 12 species